ensembl:lncRNA
CCUAAUGCUGCAAAAUAUUAUGCCAGAAUUAGACACAAUUAGGACAGAAAUUCUGUAAGGACAGAAGACAGCACAGUGAGACAGUGUUGUUAAAGCUAGCAGAUAUCCGUCUUGUAUUUAUUUCGCGUGAAUUAAAGCUGUUAAUCCUUCCCUUUCAGGAACAUUCAAUUUUCCCAGGGGAAAAAAAAAAAAAAAAAAAAAAGGCAGGGAACAAGAAACAGACAGUGAGUUGUCUAAACCCUUUAAUAAAGGGUACUGAGCUACUUUGUUAAAAGAUCGCAGUGACUUACUCUCUUCCAGAAGAAAAAUGUGUGGGAUGAAUUAAGGCACUCCCUUGCUGUAGUGGCUUGUGGGACAGAAUGUAUUCAUGUCAUUCAUGAACUGAAAAGUUAACUUAUUGCUUUGUUUUCUUCACAUUUGUAUGAAAAAAAUUGUAUUUUGGUGGGGGUCAACCUCUUCUCCCACAUAACUAGCGAUAGGACAAGAGGGAAUGGCCUCGUGUUGCACCAUGGGAGGUUCAGGUUGGAUAUUAGGAAACAUUUAUUCUCCAAAACAGUGUUGUAACGGGCUGCCCAGGGAGGUGGUGGAGUCACUGUCCCUGGAGAUGCUCAAGAACCAUUUAGACAUUAUAUUAAGCAACAUAGCUCAGUGAGGAAAUAUUGGUGGUAGAUGGACUGUUGGCCUGGAUGAUCUUGGAGGUCUUUUUCAAACUUGAUGAUUAUACUAUUCUCUGACCAUGUUUUUGGUUUCUAGAAAUAAAAGACGCAAUUUGGGGAUACCAAAUGAGGUAAAAAUUGUCCCCAAACAUCAGAAUUCUCUCUGCACUUGCUCUGUGUUAUUAGAAGAGGGAAGUGGAACUGUUACGUCUUCAGGAGGCUCGGUACUGUGAGAAGGAUGGUGGUGGAGGGCAUAGACAGAAAUAGCCAGUGAAACAGGGGCAGACACUGGAGACAUAAAAAGUUCCAACUUGACAAAUUUUAGAAGAAACUUUGUUUUCAUGAAAUACAAGAACAAAAAACAAAGAUUAAAUGCUUAAAAAAUAAAACAGUAAUGAAAUACCAGAAAAUAAAUAUGAAUAACAGCUGGUUUUCACAGCCUAAAUUUGACACUGCAACUGUUAUGUAAAUAGUUUUCAGUAUAAUGAAAGCUUUUGAAAUUUCAAAGAGAAUUCAUGCUGAGCAGAAGCAAAACAAUCAAAAGUUGAAAAAUUU